CUUAUAGUACAUUUUGAAAUCAGAGUUGGGGGCUGCAUCUGACAAGUGGCCGUGGUUUCAAGUCUCUGGAGUCCCAUUUUUUUCUCUUCCAUGGAGUUUGUUUGCUGCAGUUUGAGGAGCCGAGGCAUAUGAUAAAUACCAGGUGUCCUUAGAAGAAGAGGAGAUUGGGCCCCAGACACACAUGCACAGAAGAAAGACCAUGUGAAGACAGAGGGAGAAGUCAGAGAUCUACAAACCAAGGAAACAUCCUCAGAAUGAAACCAACCUUGCCAAUCCCUGAUCCUAGACCUCCAGCCUCCACAACG
rnacentral:lncRNA from 10 species